GGGCCUAUGGCUUAAUGGAUAAAGCGCCGGUCUACGGAACCGGAAAUUCCAGGUUCGUUCCCUGGUAGGCUCG
rnacentral:tRNA from 1 species